rnacentral:rRNA from 1 species
GUGGGGAAUAUUGGACAAUGGGCGAAAGCCUGAUCCAGCCAUGCCGCGUGUGUGAAGAAGGCCUUUUGGUUGUAAAGCACUUUAAGCGAGGAGGAGGCUACUUAGAUUAAUACUCUAGGAUAGUGGACGUUACUCGCAGAAUAAGCACCGGCUAACUCUGUGCCAGCAGCCGCGGUAAUACAGAGGGUGCGAGCGUUAAUCGGAUUUACUGGGCGUAAAGCGUGCGUAGGCGGCUUCUUAAGUCGGAUGUGAAAUCCCUGAGCUUAACUUAGGAAUUGCAUUCGAUACUGGGAAGCUAGAGUAUGGGAGAGGAUGGUAGAAUUCCAGGUGUAGCGGUGAAAUGCGUAGAGAUCUGGAGGAAUACCGAUGGCGAAGGCAGCCAUCUGGCCUAAUACUGACGCUGAGGUACGAAAGCAUGGGGAGCAAACAGGAUUAGAUACCCGUGUAGUCC